AAGACCAAAUGGAUUAGAGAAGUGGAUUUUCGGGUCUGGCCCAGGAAGUUAACGGAGUCAUGCUGCUGGGAUACGGUUUGGUUUUCGCGCCUAAAAUUGCGGACUGCUUCCUCUCCGAUUUCCACCUAUAUCUCACUCUAUUUCUUCUUGAUAUUUCUUGGGCUCACACGCUGCUGAGAACAUGUUGGAAAGUAAAGCAUAAAAUAUAUACAUCGAUCUAGCACCAUUUCAGAGUUCACGAGGUAUGGCAAUUUUCUACGUGGGUAAGGGUCUUCGUGGGGAUUCGACCCUAAUGAGUUGGAUAUGAAAGACAAAAAAGAGAUGUGAAGGAGGCUGCGUCAAAGGCAUCCCCUCUAAAUGCCCGCUUGCAGGACUUGGAUUGUGCAUCAAGU